rnacentral:lncRNA from 1 species
AGAGGCCUCUGCUCUGCCAGCCUGGGAGUCAUCUUCACCCUCAGGCUGGUAGACUCCAGUCUCUUAGGUCAGAAUGGGAUUAGAGACCCGUUCCUGAACCAGUCACACACAGCGGGUGAAACUGCUAUGAUUGGUUUAGACUUAGAGACUGGAAUGGAUGCUGUCCCCAGAUAGCAGAUGACUGGUAGGAAGAUGAGGCAAGUUUGCGGUCCAUUGUCAUGGAUAGUGGAGACAACACUGGGCCAGAAGUGGUAAGACCUGAAUCCAAGACUCAGCUCUGCCACUUGCUAAAUGGGACUUUGAAUAAACCAUUUCUCUGCACUUAAGUUCCUUACCAACAAAACGAGGGAAGUGGCCUACAUGCCUAGAUAUCAACAUUUCAUGUCACGUAGAGAUCUAGCAUCACAAGAAUCCAAGUCAUCCUCUGUUGCCUUUAAGAAAUUAGAAUUAAAGGAAUCAGAAUUGAAGUGAAUCUGACUACACUAAGCCUAUCACUUGUGACAGCCAUGGGAAGAUAUCAUUGGUUGCUGAGGAGCAGAAAUAAGCAGAGACCUAUUGUGUUAGGUUAUCAUUCAUUUCAGUUGUUCCCCUUUGGCCUGUGAAGAGUGGAACAGGAGUUACACAAAUAGAGAUGAUUGCCUCUCCAUCCUGACAAAGUAUGAUAAAGACCACCGAAGUGUUGUACGCAAGAAAGCACAGGAUGGCUGGGAUGAGUGAACUAUGUAUCCCAGGUUUUACUUAGGCCUCAGCAUCCAGUGACAAAAAGCAGAUCAGCAAGUUUUCAUAUUGCACUAUUUUCAAUGGCUGGAGCAUCAACAUUUUACAACAAGAAAAAAAUUAAAAUUCUUCAACAUUUGGAAAAGAAGUGUUUGUAAAACUUUUCACAUCCAUUCACCAUCCGGAAAAGCAAGGUUUUACAGUGAGGCCUGAUGAUGUCUAGAGUCACCAUGCAUCUUGGAAAAUGACCUCCUAUUUAUUUCUUCUACAGGACACCAUGGUGUUCACCUUUCUACAACUUUACACUUGCUGAGGACAUAUUGUGGAAAAUUAAGAGAAAUAUAUAUGGAUGGCCAAGGCUGUAGAUGGAUGUCCAAGCCUUUUUACUGGGGAAUGUUUUCAGAACAAAAUGAGUUACAGGUUCAAGAGUGAAACCCAACAAA